CGCGGGGUGGAGCAGUUGGCAGCUCGUCGGGCUCAUAACCCGAAGGUCGUAGGUUCAAGUCCUGCCUCCGCAA
rfam:Clostridium collagenovorans DSM 3089 genome assembly, contig: EJ35DRAFT_scaffold00010.10